UGGGGAAUAUUGGACAAUGGGCGAAAGCCUGAUCCAGCCAUGCCGCGUGUGUGAAGAAGGUCUUCGGAUUGUAAAGCACUUUAAGUUGGGAGGAAGGGCAUUAACCUAAUACGUUAGUGUUUUGACGUUACCGACAGAAUAAGCACCGGCUAACUCUGUGCCAGCAGCCGCGGUAAUACAGAGGGUGCAAGCGUUAAUCGGCAUUACUGGGCGUAAAGCGCGCGUAGGUGGUUUGUUAAGUUGGAUGUGAAAUCUCCGGGCUCAACCUGGGAACUGCAUUCAAAACUGACUGACUAGAGUAUGGUAGAGGGUGGUGGAAUUUCCUGUGUAGCGGUGAAAUGCGUAGAUAUAGGAAGGAACACCAGUGGCGAAGGCGACCACCUGGACUAAUACUGACACUGAGGUGCGAAAGCGUGGGGAGCAAACA
rnacentral:rRNA from 1 species